rnacentral:rRNA from 1 species
GAGCAUGUGGCUUAAUUUGACUCAACGCGGGAAAUCUUACCGGGUCCGGACACACUGAGGAUUGACAGGCAAUAUUAAUACAUCGUAUUGUUUUUAACUUUACGUUUGUAUUAUGUUAAAUAUGCUAGUCCUUUCAUGAUUAUGUGAUAGGUGGUGCAUGGCCGUUCUUAGUUCGUGGAGUGAUCUGUCUGCUUAAUUGCGUUUCACUAAGGACCUAUACAUUUACGUGUGUUGCAGCACUUUGACCCCUCUUUUCAACUUCUGUUGUUUAAGAGCGUGUGUCUUAGCUUUUGCUUGCUCGCACAACUAGGUCCUGAAAGCAACGAACGUGACCGCAACCUCUUGUUGCCUUUUGAUACCAACAGUUUCUUUCUUCGCACUUUUGUGUGAAUGAUUGACUGCAUAAAGGCUUUUUAAACUAGAGGGACCGCUGUUACUUUCUUAAACCAGAGGAAGGUUGCGGCAAUAACAGGUCUGUG